AGUGAACGCUGGCGGUAGGCCUAACACAUGCAAGUCGAACGGCAGCACAGUAAGAGCUUGCUCUUACGGGUGGCGAGUGGCGGACGGGUGAGGAAUACAUCGGAAUCUACUUUUUCGUGGGGGAUAACGUAGGGAAACUUACGCUAAUACCGCAUACGACCUACGGGUGAAAGCAGGGGAUCUUCGGACCUUGCGCGAAUGAAUGAGCCGAUGUCGGAUUAGCUAGUUGGGGGGGUAAAGGCCCACCAAGGCGACGAUCCGUAGCUGGUCUGAGAGGAUGAUCACCCACAUGGGAACUGAGACACGGUCCAGACUCCUACGGGAGGCCGCAGUGUGGAAUGUUGGACAAUGGGCGCAAGCCUUAUCCAGCCAUACCGCGUGGGUGAAGAAGGCCUUCGGGUUGUAAAGCCCUUUUGUUGGUAAAGAAAAGCAGCAGGUUAAUACCCCGCUGUUCUGACGGUACCCAAAGAAUAAGCACCGACUAACUUCGUG
rnacentral:rRNA from 1 species